UGAAGUGAAAGGCAGUGGNUCAACCAUUGUAGGCUUUGGAAACUGUUUAACUNGAGUGCAGAAGGGGAGAGUGGAAUUCCAUGUGUAGCGGUGAAAUGCGUAGAUAUAUGGAGGAACACCGGUGGCGAAAGCGGCUCUCUGGUCUGUAACUGACGCUGAGGCUCGAAAGCGUGGGGAGCGAACAGGAUUAGAUACCCUGGUAGUNCACGCCGUAAACGAUGAGUGUUAGGUGUUAGGUCCUUUCCGGGACUUAGUGCCGCAGCUAACGCAUUAAGCACUCCGCCUGGGGAGUACGACCGCAAGGUUGAAACUCAAAGGAAUUGACGGGGGCCCGCACAAGCGGUGGAGCAUGUGGUUUAAUUCGAAGCAACGCGAAGAACCUUACCAGGUCUUGACAUCCCGAUGCUAUUUCUAGAGAUAGGAAGUUUCUUCGGAACAUCGGUGACAGGUGGUGCAUGGUUGUCGUCAGCUCGUGUCGUGAGAUGUUGGGUUAAGUCCCGCAACGAGCGCAACCCUUAUUGUUAGUUGCCAUCAUUGAGUUGGGCACUCUAGCGAGACUGCCGGUAAUAAACCGGAGGAAGGUGGGGAUGACGUCAAAUCAUCAUGCCCCUUAUGACCUGGGCUACACACGUGCUACAAUGGCUGGUACAACGAGUCGCAAGCCGGUGACGGCAAGCUAAUCUCUGAAAGCCAGUCUCAGUUCGGAUUGUAGGCUGCAACUCGCCUACAUGAAGUCGGAAUCGCUAGUAAUCGCGGAUCAGCACGCCGCGGUGAAUACGUUCCCGGGCCUUGUACAC
rnacentral:rRNA from 1 species